UUGUGACCUGCUAGGAAGCAGUCGAAGCAGCUGAGCCGUGGUAGUGUACAGUAUCCAUCAGUGUGCGGAGAUGUCAGGUCUGAUUAUGAUAACGAGAUGUCUGCCAGCUUACCUGAUGCUCCUGUGGAUGCUGACCAACAUCUCUGAGUCCACACUGUAUGUCUUCACUCCUACUGCGAUUACACUGGAGGAAAACUCCCAGGCAAAUAUCACCAUUACUUCCAGGUAAGCCUAGAAACACUGAAGACUCUU